rnacentral:lncRNA from 1 species
ACGGUAGAUUGUGAGCACCGUGUCUCAUCCAACAGCUCCCAUGCAUCUGACUUCUCCCCACCGUCGUUGGGAAAACAAAUUUUAUCAAGAAAAAAUAAAGUUAAGCAAUUGAUGUGGAAGAUUUUGCUCAGGGGCGGCUGAAGGGCAAGGCCACCGAAGCCCUUGCCUUAGGCCCCCGCCCCCAGGAGGCCCCCCACUCCCGAGUCCCGAGUCCCGCCUCCGUCUUCACGCUCCACUCCGGCA